GAUGAACGCUGGCGGCGUGCCUAAUACAUGCAAGUCGAGCGAACAGAUAAGGAGCUUGCUCCUUUGACGUUAGCGGCGGACGGGUGAGUAACACGUGGGUAACCUACCUAUAAGACUGGAAUAACUCCGGGAAACCGGGGCUAAUGCCGGAUAACAUGUUGAACCGCAUGGUUCUACAGUGAAAGGCGGCUUUGCUGUCACUUAUAGAUGGACCCGCGCCGUAUUAGCUAGUUGGUGAGGUAACGGCUCACCAAGGCAACGAUACGUAGCCGACCUGAGAGGGUGAUCGGCCACACUGGAACUGAGACACGGUCCAGACUCCUACGGGAGGCAGCAGUAGGGAAUCUUCCACAAUGGGCGAAAGCCUGGCGGGGCAACGCCGCGUGAGUGAUGAAGGUCUUCGGAUCGUAAAACUCUGUUAUUAGGGAAGAACAAAUGCGUAAGUAACUGUGCGCGUCUUGACGGUACCUAAUCAGAAAGCCACGGCUAACUACGUG
rnacentral:rRNA from 1 species